AUUGAACGCUGGCGGCAGGCUUAACACAUGCAAGUCGAGCGGAGAGAGGUAGCUUGCUACUGAUCUUAGCGGCGGACGGGUGAGUAAUGCUUAGGAAUCUGCCUAUUAGUGGGGGACAACAUUUCGAAAGGAAUGCUAAUACCGCAUACGUCCUACGGGAGAAAGCAGGGGAUCUUCGGACCUUGCGCUAAUAGAUGAGCCUAGGUCGGAUUAGCUAGUUGGUGGGGUAAAGGCCUACCAAGGCGACGAUCUGAAGCGGGUCGGAGAGGAUGGUCCGCCACAAUGGGACUGAGACACGGCCCAGACUCCUACGGGAGGCAGCAGUGGGGAAUAUUGGACAAUGGGCGAAAGCCUGAUCCAGCAAUGCCGCGUGUGUGAAGAAGGCCUUCGGGUUGUAAAGCACUUUCAGUGGGGAAGAAUGGCCCAAGGCGAAUGUCCUUGGGAAGUGACAUUACCCACAGAAGAAGCACUGGCUAACUCUGUGCCAGCCGCCGCCGUAACAC
rnacentral:rRNA from 1 species